AUCUUCUUGAUUAGAAGACAGAAGUGGCUGAAAUACAAAGACCCCUUUGCAUGCUGAUAUAUCUCAGUAUAUAGAGAAGAGCAGUUACUGGGAUAAGGCAAAUUUCUCCAGCAGCAGCACUGUCCAUGGCUUAUGUAGAGAUGCACUCCAGGCA